rnacentral:rRNA from 1 species
UACGUAGGGUGCAAGCGUUGUCCGGAAUUAUUGGGCGUAAAGAGCUCGUAGGCGGUCUGUCGCGUCGGCUGUGAAAUCCCGAGGCUCAACCUCGGGUCUGCAGUCGAUACGGGCAAACUGGAGUACUGCAGGGGAGACUGGAAUUCCUGGUGUAGCGGUGAAAUGCGCAGAUAUCAGGAGGAACACCGGUGGCGAAGGCGAGUCUCUGGGCAGUAACUGACGCUGAGGAGCGAAAGCGUGGGGAGCGAACAGG